rnacentral:rRNA from 1 species
CCUACGGGUGGCAGCAGUGAGGAAUAUUGGUCAAUGGACGCAAGUCUGAACCAGCCAUGCCGCGUGCAGGAAGACGGUUCUAUGAGUUGUAAACUUCUUUUGUAGGGGGGUACACGCAUAUACGCGUGUCUGUCUGAAUGUAUCUUACGAAUAAGCAUCGGCUAACUCCGUGCCAGCAGCCGCGGUAAUACGGAGGAUUCAAGCGUUAUCCGGAUUUAUUGGGUUUAAAGGGUGCGUAGGCUGUCGGAUAAGUCAGAGGUGAAAUCCCGAGGCUCAACCACGGCAUUGCCUCUGAAACUGGUAGGCUUGAGUGUAGUUGAGGUAGGCGGAAUGCGUGGUGUAGCGGUGAAAUGCAUAGAGAUCACGCAGAACACCGAUUGCGAAGGCAGCUUACUAAGCUACAACUGACGCUGAGGCACGAAAGCGUGGGGAUCAAACAGGAUUAGAUACCCUAGUAGUC